GAUGAAGAACGUAGUGAAAUGCGAUAAGUAGUGUGAAUUGCAGAAUUCAGUGAAUCAUCGAAUCUUUGAACGCACAUUGCGCCCCUUGGUAUCCCGAGGGGCAUGCCUGUUCGAGCGUCAUUUCACCACUCAAGCCUGGCUUGGUGUUGGGCGACGUCCUCUUUGGGGACGCGCCUCGAAACGCUCGGCGGCGUGGCACCGGCUUUAAGCGUAUCAGAAUCUUUCGCUUUGGAAGUCGGGGCCCCGUCUGCCGGAAGACCUGCUCGCAAGGUUGACCUCGGAUCAGGCAGGGAUACCCGCUGAACUUAAGCAUAUCAAUAAGCGGAGGA
rnacentral:misc_RNA from 1 species